AUAACCUGCCGUGCACAGGGGGAGUAACACUUAGAAAUAGGUGCUAAUACCGCAUAAGCGCACAGUUUCGCAUGAGACAGUGUGAAAAGCCUGGAAGCGAUUCCUGGCGGUGCAUGAUGGAUCCGCGUCCGAUUAGCUAGUUGGCGGGGUAAAGGCCCACCAAGGCAGCGAUCGGUAGCCGGCCUGAGAGGGUGGACGGCCACAUUGGGACUGAGACACGGCCCAAACUCCUACGGGAGGCAGCAG
rnacentral:rRNA from 1 species